CGUGUACUUCAGCGGCUCCUGCUACGGCCGCAACCUUGGCCUCCUUGAUGCCGCCUGGAGCAGCGCCCCCGACUCGGCCUUCACAGCUGUGUGGAUCGGUCGCCUGAACUCGACGAAGACACCACAGACCUACAUGACCAUGAGCCGGAUCCCCAGAGAAUAUUUCUGGGAGACGUAUUGGGUUCAAAGCGGUUUGUUCGUGUACGGAGAUCUCAGCGUGCAAUUCGGCAUCAACGCGAAUACUACUUCGCCUCCCGCUGGUCAGUGGACCAUGGAAGUGUUCUCCCGGCGGCCGGGUGCAAACUCCGCUUACUAUGCCCGCUACAGCUCAAGUGGCAGCCUCUCCCUGACCUCCUUAACCAGCAAGCCCUGCAGACUGGACAGGGAUAACCUCGUGGUGGGGGCUGAUUACCGGGACAACAACAAGUACCUGGUGGGCAACAUGGCGGUGUUGCUGAUCUACAACCGGUCGCUGUCUUCGUCCGAGCUGCUGGAUCUUGCGCAGGGCUAUGCUUCGCGGUUUGGAUGGCCUGCGCCAGUCAGUGAGUCCUGCGUUUACCCUUGUCAUAGCUCACGGCUAUUACAUAUGUAGACAUAAAGUUCCGCGGGGUUGGGACACGGAUGGUUCAGCCCCAGCCACAUGGCAACGGUUCUGUGAGAGUGGUCACACGGAU
rnacentral:lncRNA from 1 species